AUGCCUUGCACUUUCUCAUCUGUGUUCCUCGGACUGCAAGACUACUGUCUCACACAUGUAAAUUUUUCAUUUACCAGACCCACGAUGGGACGGAUCACCUUCAGAUUCCUGUAUUUUUUUCACCACUCACAGACGAACAUGGCUGCCAGCGAGAAUCUGUCUGAACGUGAGGGCCUGGCACGCACAUCACCCCUGCUCGCCUACCUACACAUUCAGAAGAUACAACAUCAGGGUUCAUCCACCAAAUCUAUCAUAGGUUUGGGAAGACAAUGUAUGUAUUAUCGACUGGUAUUUCAAAUGUAUGCUGUGUUUAUUCUAACAUUAUCAUCAAUUUGUAUUCUCCCCAUACACAGCCACUUCUUAAUAGUACAUUUGAGGAUGUUUUUUCCCUGCUUCCCGGUCAGGACUGGAAUUCCAAAUCUGCUGUGGUUAGUUAGCCUGCCAAUUUUUAAAAGUGAAUCUCCCAUUAAAAAAAAAAAAAAAAAAAUCCCUCUUUUGGGCAACUGACAUUCUAACUUGAGUUCACAAAGCGGUGGAAUUUUCUUCCUGCCUUCAACAUCUAACCAAACUACUUCCUUUGAGUGCAGCUGGGAUUUGUAAUAUAUUCAUCAAAUUUCUAUCAUGAAACUUGGGCAUCUAUAUUACAGCUUCUAUGUUCAGGAGAAGGGGUUCAAUAAAUUCAUUAUUUAGAAAGGAACUAAGCCUGGGUUUCCUAAAAGUCUGUAUCAAGGUUCUCAUUAGACUCUCCAGAAGCACUUAUUAGAUUCCACAGAACCAAGUAUUAAUAGAAGAAUUAAUAGAAUUUUGAAGAGGGUAUAAAUUUAACCAGGUGGGAUAAUGGGGUCAUUUCUGUUUUCAGUAUAGAAACCACUGCCCAACUGUCUUGCGAUGCCACUGAAAAUAGAGAAAACUUCAUGUUAGCAUGAGGGGAAAAAAAACCCUCACCCUGUCUCAUUUAAAUAAAUUGUUUUAUAGGAAAACAGAAUAUUUUUUAUCAAAUUAUUCAUCAGGAGAAUACAUAUUAAUUAUAAACAAUAUCCUCUUUGGUAUUAAAAAAAAAUCUCGGGUGGAAUAUAAAGGAUUUUCCCCUAGUUCUAGGAAGAAAAAGAAACUGUCAGUAUUCUCAGAGCCAUCACAGACUGUAAGACUACAGAGUAAAAUAUAGAAUUUUUUAUCUUGUAUAGAAAAAUGUUUAUUGUAGGGAUUGAAGUUUUUUUUUUUUUUUUUUUCAAAAAAGAUGUUGGGGAUAUUUUCACUGCUCAUAGGAUUUGCAGCUAUUGAAACACCUUGUACUUUCUCUCUCAUAACUGGAUCUAACUCUACUUGCACAAAGCCACUGUCCACCCGAGUGCAGGGCAGCCUCCCUUUUCCUCCCUGGGACUAUUUAAUGAUUCCCCUCUAUUUUUCACCCAACAGUACCAGAUAUAAAGUUAUUGGAGCAUUGGUCCAUCCAUACUCCUAAAACAAAUGGACUGAGUCAGGACCACCCCAGCCUGGAGAAGAGCCAUUUGAUUUGCUUCAUGGCCAAAUUAUUUCAGGAUGGAGAGUUAGCAUAGUUGACUGCCUGGGGGGGGGCGGGGCUGGGGGCUAUGACUAUCAAUGGGGGCGUCCCUAGAGGAGGAGUGAGGACCACCUGCAACACCUCAUCUCAAGGCAAUGCCCCGAGAUUUCCUCCUAGUCUAGACUCCCUUGGUUAUUCCUUUCCUCAGCCCUGGUGCUAAUCAUUAUUGGCUGUGUGUGAUCCUCAUGUUUUCAUGGAGACAGUCCAGUUGGAUCACAAGUGCUUUGUGAGUUGCUCAUGAGGAAUCACAAGAUGGUAACUAUAAAAAAGACCAACACUACCUUUUCGAGUUAUGGGGCCAGAGUGGACUAAGCCGUUAAAGUAUCAGUGUUUGAAAGGAGAAUACUGUAGACGUGAAUGCGGGGACUAAGCCGUUAAAGUAUCAGUGUUUGAAAGGAGAAUACUGUAGACGUGAAUGCGGGUGGUGUUUAUACAAACGUGUUGUGGCAGCCCUGCAGCAGGUGAGGGUACGUGGUGGUGCUAUUUUGCAGAAGAGGAAACGUGUCAGCAAUGAGGUGACGAGGUGACAGAGGCGGCUCGUGUCCCAGUCCAGGAUUAUGUUUACCAAAUCAGGGUGUCUCCCUCAGGAGUCUCUGAUGCUCUGAAUGCCCAGCUAAUACUGGGAUGGGACUGCCUUGUGGUUCCUCUUGGAAGCAAGGGCCUUGUGUUACUCUUCACUAUCUUUC
rnacentral:lncRNA from 1 species